GUGACCUCAAAUCAGGUAGGACUACCCGCUGAACUUAAGCAUAUCAAUAAGCGGAGGAAAAGAAACUAACAAGGAUUCCCCUAGUAACUGCGAGUGAAGCGGGAAGAGCUCAAAUUUAAAAUCUGGCAGUCUUUGGCUGUCCGAGUUGUAAUCUAGAGAAGCAUUAUCCGCGCUGGACCGUGUACAAGUCUCCUGGAAUGGAGCGUCAUAGAGGGUGAGAAUCCCGUCUUUGACACGGACUGCCAGGGCUUUUGUGAUGUGCUCUCAAAGAGUCGAGUUGUUUGGGAAUGCAGCUCAAAAUGGGUGGUAAAUUCCAUCUAAAGCUAAAUAUUGGCGAGAGACCGAUAGCGAACAAGUACCGUGAGGGAAAGAUGAAAAGAACUUUGGAAAGAGAGUUAAACAGUACGUGAAAUUGCUGAAAGGGAAACGCUUGAAGUCAGUCGCGUUGUCCAGGGAUCAACUCUUGCUUUUGCUUGGUGUAUUUUCUGGUUAACGGGUCAGCAUCAAUUUUGACUAUUGGAAAAAGAUCAAGGGAAUGUGGCAUCUUUAGAUGUGUUAUAGCCCUUGGUUGCAUACAUUAGUUGGGAUUGAGGAACUCAGCACGCCGAAAGGCCGAGUGUUUA
rnacentral:rRNA from 1 species